GAUGAAGAACGUAGCGAAAUGCGAUAAGUAAUAUGAAUUGCAGAAUUCCGUGAAUCAUCGAAUCUUUGAACGCACAUUACGCCCCCUGGUAUUCCGGGGGGCAUGCCUGUCCGAGCGUCAUUGCAACCUUCAAGCGCGGCUUGUGUGUUGGGUCUCGUCCCCCGUGGACGGGCCCGAAAGGCAGUGGCGGCGUCCCGACAUGGUGCCCGAGCGUAUGGGAAUCCUCUUCCGCUCGAAUCGGCCCAUGCGGCGCUGGUCGUAACCAAAUUUUUUACCGGUUGACCUCGGAUCAGGUAGGGAUACCCGCUGAACUUAAGCAUAUCAAUAAGCGGAGGA
rnacentral:misc_RNA from 1 species